rnacentral:piRNA from 1 species
UAUGUAAUCAUUCCACUGGGUUAGCCUU